UCCGAAGUAGCUCAGUGGUAGAGCAAUCGGCUGUUAACCGAUCGGUCGUAGGUUCGAGUCCUACCUUCGGAGCCA
rnacentral:tRNA from 26 species